AUUGAACGCUGGCGGCAUGCCUUACACAUGCAAGUCGAACGGUAACAGGCCGCAAGGUGCUGACGAGUGGCGAACGGGUGAGUAAUGCAUCGGAACGUGCCCAGUCGUGGGGGAUAACGCAGCGAAAGCUGUGCUAAUACCGCAUACGAUCUAUGGAUGAAAGCGGGGGACCGUAAGGCCUCGCGCGAUUGGAGCGGCCGAUGUCAGAUUAGCUAGUUGGUGGGGUAAAGGCCCACCAAGGCGACGAUCUGUAGCUGGUCUGAGAGGACGACCAGCCACACUGGGACUGAGACACGGCCCAGACUCCUACGGGAGGCAGCAGUGGGGAAUUUUGGACAAUGGGCGCAAGCCUGAUCCAGCAAUGCCGCGCGAAGGAAGAAGGCCUUCGGGUUGUAAACUGCUUUUGUACGGAACGAAACGGUCUGGGUUAAUACCCUGGGCUAAUGACGGUACCGUAAGAAUAAGCACCGGCUAACUACGUGCCAGCCGCCGCCGUAA
rnacentral:rRNA from 1 species